AUGCACGGGGGUGGUAUGAAGAAUGGGUCUAGAUGGGGUCGAAGGCACCUGGACUUGGAGGAUGGCAGUUUGAGGGUAUCUUCAAGAAGUCUGUGGAUAGAAAGAAGCAGCAGAAGCUGGAGAUCCUUCUUACCGGUGGCAAGGUCUGGGGCUUUUGGAAGUGCCUACGAGCAGUGCCAUCCUAAUCUGAGUGCAGACAGAUGGGCCUCUCCUCUGAAACCAGAGACUGAGUUUGGAUAUGGCUCCUGAAAAUUUGCACCCGUUGAAUGCACUUCCUUUUGCCUUUGAGGACGCGGGCGUGUGGUGAAGAGCUAGCAGGACCCAUUGCGUCCACUUUCAAUUAUCUGCACUCUGAAGAGAGGAAGCGUGGAAAACUAUCCAAGAAACAGCUAAGAGAAAGAAUUUCAGUUUGGCUGUGUGAUGAAGUCCAAAUCUAAUCUCUCACUCUUGAUC
rnacentral:lncRNA from 1 species